UGACCUCAGGUCAGGCAAGGGUACCCCCUGAACUUAAGCAUAUCACUAAGGGGAGGAAGAGAAACUAACAAGGAUUCCCUCAGUAACGGCGAGUGAAGCGGGAAGAGCUCAAGCAUUGGAAUCUCCACAAGCUUCUUUCAUAUUGUGGCGAGUUGUAGUCUUUAUGGGAUGCGGGCCGUCGCAUGUCUUUGUGAUGGUGCAUGUUGUUCGCAAUGUGCAUUGUUGUUUGGCGCAGCACCGAGUUUCCUUGGAAGAGGACACCGGAGAGGGUGAGAGUCCCGUUGGUGCUACAUUAUUUGCGCUGAUGUGCGGUGUGUGGUCCGUUUAUUCUCUUGAGUCGGGUUGUUUGGGAAUGCAGCCCAAAGCCGGGUGGUAAACUGCAUCCAAGGCUAAAUACUGGCACGAGACCGAUAGCGAACAAGUACCGUGAGGGAAAGAUGAAAAGCACUUUGAAAAGAGAGUUAAACAGUACGUGAAACCGUUGACAGAGAAUCGCUUGCAGCUAGCAGAGACUGGGCGCGCCUUGUGAUCAGGGUUGGUGUUGUGCAUAACAGUGGUGCGGGGGGUGUUUUGUGUGCACUUGUUGCACAUAUGCGCCGCUGCGUUGCUGUUGUUGUGUGCUGCGCUGCCUGCACUCGCGGGGCGUGUCUGCCAGCAUGAGUUUUGUGUGUGAGAGACGGCGAUGCGAGGGCGCCCUUGUGCGUGGCGCAUCUGCUAUUUAUGUUUCUGUCGCACGCGGGACUGAGGAAUUUAUCGAUGCGGUGGCUUUGUUAUGUGGUCUUUGGCAUGGGUGCUGUUUUCGGCAUUGUGUUGCGCAGACUCUUGUUUUGGCAUGGGAGACUCGUUCUCUUGUGCUGUUGACAGAGUGUGUGCGGGCAGUGUUGGGAAUGUUGCGCUUGCCGCUUGGCGCACACCACCGGGGAGAUGCUGGCGACAGGGCUGC
rnacentral:ncRNA from 1 species